UGAGUAACCUGCCCUUCACUCUGGGAUAACUCCGGGAAACCGGGGCUAAUACUGGAUAUGACUCGAACAGGCAUCUGUUUCGGGUGGAAAGAUUUAUUGGUGGAGGAUGGACUCGCGGCCUAUCAGCUUGUUGGUGAGGUAAUGGCUCACCAAGGCGACGAUGCGUAGCCGACCUGAGAGGGUGAUCGGCCACAUUGGAACUGAGACACGGUCCAGAUUCCUACGGGAGCA
rnacentral:rRNA from 1 species